GCGGAUGUAGCCAAGUGGAUCAAG
rnacentral:tRNA from 4 species